GUUUGCCUUCAACCUGCUGGUGGGCAGUCCCUAAGAAAGAACAGGCAUGGAAGUGGGGAGAGCCAUACGUAUUUAAAAGUGAGUUUCUCUGUUUGAAGAACAUAAGGACAUUUCUCACGGCCUGUUGUGAGACGUUUGGAAUGAGGAAAAGUGAACUUUUCGAGGCAUUUGACCUGUUUGAUGUUCGUGACUUUGGAAAGCCUUAGUUGUUGGGCCAUAUCCUAUCUGAGCUGUGUUCAGAAAUCCUUGACCUCGUCACAUUGGCUUAAGGGUUAUAGAAACAUUAUCACGACUUUCUCGAACACCUAUAGCAUUGGCCACAGGAAUCAGGCCCUUCCCAACAGAAGAAAGCAUUAAUGAUGAAGACAUCUACAAAGGCCUUCCUGAUUUAAUAGAUGAAACCCUUGUGGAAGAUGAAGAAGAUCUCUAUGACUGUGUUUAUGGGGAAGAUGAAGGUGGAGAAGUCUAUGAGGACUUAAUGAAGGCAGAGGAAGCACAUCAGCCCAAAUGUCCAGAAAAUGAUAUACGAAGUUGUUGUCUAGCAGAAAUUAAGCAGACAGAAGAAAAAUAUACAG
rnacentral:sRNA from 1 species